rnacentral:rRNA from 1 species
UACGGGAGGCAGCAGUGGGGAAUAUUGCACAAUGGGCGCAAGCCUGAUGCAGCCAUGCCGCGUGUAUGAAGAAGGCCUUCGGGUUGUAAAGUACUUUCAGUCGUGAGGAAGGUGUUAAGGUUAAUAACCUUAGCAAUUGACGUUAGCGACAGAAGAAGCACCGGCUAACUCCGUGCCAGCAGCCGCGGUAAUACGGAGGGUGCGAGCGUUAAUCGGAAUUACUGGGCGUAAAGGGCACGCAGGCGGUUAAUUAAGUUGGAUGUGAAAUCCCCGGGCUUUAACCUGGGAAUGGCAUUCAAGACUGGUUAGCUAGAGUCUUGUAGAGGGGGUAGAAUUCCAUGUGUAGCGGUGAAAUGCGUAGAGAUGUGGAGGAAUACCGGUGGCGAAGGCGGCCCCUGGACGAAAGACUGACGCUCAUGUGCGAAAGCGUGGGGAGGCAAACAGGGAUUAGAUACC